GAUGAACGCUGGCGGCGUGCCUAAUACAUGCAAGUCGAACGCUGAAGGAGGAGCUUGCUCUUCUGGAUGAGUUGCGAACGGGUGAGUAACGCGUAGGUAACCUGCCUGGUAGCGGGUGCUAACUAUUGGAAACGAUAGCUAAUACCGCAUGACAACAGAUAUUGCAUGAUAACUGUUUAAGAGGGGCAACUGCUCCACUACCAGAUGGACCUGCGUUGUAUUAGCUAGUUGGUGAGGUAACGGCUCACCCAGGCGACGAUACAUAGCCGACCUGAGAGGGUGAUCGGCCACACUGGGACUGAGACACGGCACAGACUCCUACGGGAGGCAGCAGUAGGGAAUCUGCGGCAAUGGACGGAAGUCUGACCGAGCAACGCCGCGUGAGUGAAGUAGGUGUUCGGGUCGUAAAGCUUUGUUGUAAGAGAAGAACGAGUGUGAGAGUGGAAAGUUCACGCUGUGACGGUAUCUUACCAGAAAGGGACGGCUAACUACGUG
rnacentral:rRNA from 1 species